rnacentral:rRNA from 1 species
GUCUACAGCCAUCCCACCCUGAAUGUACUUGAUCUCAGAGGCUCAGCAGGUUUGAGCCUGGUUAGUACUUGGACAGGGGACUGCCUUGGAAUAUCAUGUGCUGUAGGCU